AUUUUAUUUUUAAAAUAAAUUUUUAUUUUUUUUAAUAAAAUUAAUUUUUUUUUGAGUAUCUUUUGAGAAUUAAAUAUUUUUUUUAUAGUUUAUAGUACUGUGAAGGAAUAAUAUAUAUUAACAUAUAAGUAGUUAAUUUUAAUGUACCUUUUGUAUCAGGGUUUAUUAAAUUUAAAAAUUUAUCUUUUUUUUCUCGAAAUUUUAAGAUAUAUAUUUUAAUGUAAGUUAGUGUUAUAAUACUUUUUAUAAUUAUAAUAUAGGGAAUAUAUUUUAUUCAAUUAAUAUUUAUCUAGUUUUUUGAGAAAUGAAUUUAAUUCAUGAUUAGUUUUGAUUUAAAAUUUAUUUAUUUCUAAUCAAAUUUUAAGGGGGAUAAUCUCUUUGGAAUUUUCUAAAAAAAAUUUUUGUAAAAAUAUGUUUUGUAGGAUUAAAAAUUUUCAUCUUUUAUUUUGUAAAAAUUAAUUUUAUAUUGGUUUUAAUUUAUUAAUUUUUUAGAUUUUUAUCAAAAAUAAUAUUUAAUAUAAAUAGUUUUGUAAAAAUGGUAAAAUUAGUAUUUUUUAAAAAUAAAUUAUAGUAACUUGGCAAAUAUAAUUUUCACCUGUUUAACAAAAACAUGGUCUUUUGUUUAUAUAAAAGAUUUGGCCUGCCCAAUGAAUAUUUUAAUGGCUGCAGUAUUUUGACUGUACAAAGGUAGCAUAAUCAUUUGUCUUUUAAUUGAAGUCUGGAAUGAAUGGUUUGAUGAAAAAUUUACUUUCUUUAUUUUAAAUAAAUAAUUUGAUUUUUUAAUUAAAAAGUUGAAAUUUUAAUAUAGGACGAGAAGACCCUAUAGAACUUUAUUUUAAUUAAAAAAAUAUAAUUUUGGUAAUGAAUUUUUGUUUUUUUAAAAAAAUUUUGUUGGGGUGAUGGAAAAAAUUUUUUAACUUUUUUUUAUGUUAUCAUUAAUAUAUGAUUUUUUUGAUCCUUUAUUAUGGAAAAUAAGAUUAAGUUACCUUAGGGAUAACAGCGUUAUUAUUUUAGAGAGUUCAUAUCGAUAAAAUAGUUUGCGACCUCGAUGUUGGAUUAAAAUAAGUUUCAGGAGUAGAAAAUUGAAUACUAGGUCUGUUCGACCUUUAAAUUUUUACAUGAUCUGAGUUCAGACCGGCGUGAGCCAGGUCGGUUUCUAUCCUUAUUAUUUUAUAGAGUUUUAGUACGAAAGGACCAAAUUCUAGGAAUAUUUUUUUUUAUUGAAUU
rnacentral:rRNA from 1 species